rnacentral:rRNA from 1 species
GACGAACGCUGGCGGCGUGCUUAACACAUGCAAGUCGAACGGAAAGGCCCGGCUUUUGUGGGGUGCUCGAGUGGCGAAGGGGUGAGUAACACGUGAGUAAGCGGCAAUUGACGUUGGGGGAACUUCAGGAAACUGGGGCUAAGACCGGAUAGGAGCUCCGGCUGAAGGGGGGGGGGUGGAAAGUUUUGGAGGUUGGGGAUGGACUCGCGGCUUAUCAGCUUGUUGGUGGGGGAGUGGCUUACCAAGGCUUUGACGGGUAGCCGGCCUGAGAGGGUGACCGGCCACAUUGGGACUGAGAUACGGCCCGGACUCCUACGGGAGGCAGCAGUGGGGAAUUUUCCGCAAUGGGCGAAAGCCUGACGGAGCAAUACCGCGUGAGGGAAGAAGGCUCUUGGGUUGUAAACCUCUUUUCUUAGGGAAGAACAAAAUGACGGUACCUAAGGAAUCAGCAUCGGCUAACUCCGUG